rnacentral:lncRNA from 1 species
GAUAAACAUAUUUGAGGUUUAGAAACGAGGAUUUGACAAGUAAACUUUUAUUUUGGCAAAACUAGUUAGACUUUGGUAUUGAGAAAAAGAGAUUGUAGAUAUGUGAUUUUGCUAUGGUUUGAAUGUGAUUAAGGUUGUAAUUAAUGAGUGUCUAAUGUGUUUAUUAUGUAUGCGAAGCACCAGAUAAAUCAGGAGCUUCUACGAGCAAGGCAAAGGGCAAAGAGAAGCUUACCUAGCCUUCAACGUUCGACCGAAAGUAAUUUGGUGAGUGAUCGAAAUUGCUACUUCUGGGCACAAUUCAAUGCAUUAUUAGGGGACUUAGGUUAGCCUAAACACCUAUCCUAAAUUUUGAGUGUAAGUAUCUCUAUUCUAUCUAUUAUUGAUAUACAAAUCAGGCUUAAGUGAUACGAUAUGCUAUGUGAGUUGACUUGAAAAUGCUAUGUGCCUUAUGAAUAAAUAUGUUAUGAACUUGCUGGUAUGUAUGCAUAUUAUAUGAUAUUUUUAUACUAUGGCUCCUUGAGCAAUAAGGGAACACUUGUAAGUGCAUUAUAUGAGAUUUGAUUAUGUGAUAUGAACAUGAGUUAAUUGAUAUGUGAAAGUGUGCAUAAAACAGUAAGUGUGUGUUUAAAAUGGAUUUGUUGGCAUUGUGAUCUUUUGGAACCAUCGGAUAUAGUUGGCAUACCAUAGGAUUGUGAGUACUCAGCAUUAUAUGUUUAUUUUUGGACGAUGAGGCCCCAAGAUAUGUUGGAGGGAUAAAGGAAUGUCAAGCAUAGCUCCAUUCACCAAGAUAUGUUUGGUGUAUUUGGAGAGUGUUCACCACACUUCAUGGGAUAUGCUAGACUCUUUGAGUCUUUGGUUGUGUUUGGAGAUUCGUGUAUUUGAUGCUUUAUGUUUUAUACAUGUUUCAUGGAAGCUAAAUGCCAAUAUAUCAAUAAAAGAUGCUAGGGAUGAUGCUUGUGCUAUGCCAUGUAAUAAAGUGAUAGUAUGCUUACCAUUAACCUUGAUAUUGUGGCUUGUUUUUGGCAUCUUUGAACACUCGCAGAGCUUUGUUAAGCUCAUACUCCUUUUAUGAACAUUUUUUGCAGAGAAGUAGCUUCUUAAGGAUGGGAAGUGUGCAAGCAAGUGAUCCAUCUAAGGCAUUCCUUUCGAGUAUGUGAAUUGAUUUUUCAACUAGCAUAAAGAUGACAAUAUGAGACUAUUUUGUAAGGGAUUUAAACUUUAUAUUUGUUGAUGGAUGUAAAAG